rnacentral:rRNA from 1 species
AUUGAACGCUGGCGGCAUGCCUAACACAUGCAAGUCGAGCGGAGCGGCGGACGGGUGAGUAAUUCCUAGGAAUCUGCCUUGUCUUGGGGGAUAACGUCCGGAAACGGGCCCUAAUACCGCAUCCUCUCAGAUGAGCCUAGGUCGGAUUAGCUAGUUGGUUGGGUAAAGGCCUACCAAGGCGACGAUCCGUAACUGGUCUGAGAGGAUGAUCAGUCACACUGGAACUGAGACACGGUCCAGACUCCGACGGGAGGCAGCAGUGGGGAAUAGUGGACAAUGGGCGAAAGCCUGAUGCAGCCAUGCCGCGUGUGUGAAGAAGGUCGUCGGAUUGUAAAGCACUUUAAGUUGGGAGGCGUUACCAACAGAAUAAGCACCGGCUAACUUCGUGCCAGCAGCCGCGGUAAUUC